rnacentral:lncRNA from 1 species
CUUUAAAGACCAUCUUUAUGAUUUUGUACUCUCUCAUUUUAGUACUAUAUGAUUUAAAGUGUAUCAAGUUAACACCUUGUAAUUUUAUUUUUCUCUUUUCGUCAGCUCCUCCAUUAAUAUUUCGUUAAAUUAUAUACAAAAAACUUCAAAUAUCUCACCUAGUUUUAUCGAAUAUGCACUUUAAUACCUUUUAGUUUUAAUCUUGUCAUUAAUUUAACAAAAAAAAUAGUGAAAUAGAUAAUAAAAAGAUAAAAAGAAAAUUACAUCGUACUAAAUUGAUACACUUUAAACCACAUGGUACUAACAUGAGAAAGUGUGAAACCGCAUGGGUAGUAUUUGAAGUUUUUCCUAUAAAAUAAAAGAAGAUUAAAAAUAUUUUAGAAUUUUUAUAUGUUCUCAGGUAGUUGCUGUUAUAAUUUUAUUGUAUAAAAUAAAAUGAGGAAAAAUUGAAUUGCUUUUGAAAUUUUUGGA